CGUAGGGUGCGAGCGUUAAUCGGAAUUACUGGGCGUAAAGCGUGCGCAGGCGGUUAUAUAAGACAGAUGUGAAAUCCCCGGGCUCAACCUGGGAACUGCAUUUGUGACUGUAUAGCUAGAGUACGGCAGAGGGGGAUGGAAUUCCGCGUGUAGCAGUGAAAUGCGUAGAUAUGCGGAGGAACACCGAUGGCGAAGGCAAUCCCCUGGGCCUGUACUGACGCUCAUGCACGAAAGCGUGGGGAGCAAACAGGAUUAGAUACCCUGGUAGUCCACGCCCUAAACGAUGUCAACUGGUUGUUGGGUCUUCACUGACUCAGUAACGAAGCAAACGCGUGAAGUUGACCGCCUGGGGAGUACGGCCGCAAGGUUG
rnacentral:rRNA from 1 species